AAAGGAGAGCUCAGGCUUCCAGAGGACGGGAGAAAUAUUUUACUUUAAUUCCUUCCAGGGUCUUUAAAGAGAUAAUUAAGUUCAAAUGAGGUCGCUGAGGUGGGCCCUAAUCCAAUAUGACUGGUGUCUUUAUAAGAAGAGGAAAUUUAAGACACAGAGACGUACAGAGGAGGAGCAUGUGAAGACACAGGGAGAAGACAAAAAUCUGCAGGCCAGGGAGAGAGGCCUCCUGCCGACACCUUGAUCUCAGACUUUCAACCUCCAGAACCGUCCAUCUGUGACAAUCAGAAGAAGAAGCUGCUGUGAAACCUUUAUCACUCAAUCUUCUUUUUUCUCAGUAAAUCAUUUCAAGAUAAUCUCAUUUUCCAAGAGGAAAAAAAGAUGGGAACCCAAUGAUAGGACUUGGACUCUUGAUUUCGGUCUAAUUACUGUACACCAGCUACUGUGAACACAGUCCGUGCCUGAAGUCAGCUGGCAGAGAGGCUCAUCUUGAUGGCACUGACCCAGCGGCACUGGUUUUGGAUCCGACAGUGCCAGGCACUUGUCCCCGUUCAGAAGUUCAUCAGGCAGUUUCCAACGACCCGGAGGAGUUAAACGACACGGGAGCCCCAGGGCCAACGGUGGCCAAGAAAGUCCAAACACUAUUUCAAUCCACGGUGUUACCCCAUCCGCUCCCUUCUGUGUCUGUCACCUCCCUUUAUUCACAGCAGCUGUAGGACAUUUCUAUGGUAAGGUGGCAGCAUCCUGUUUCACUGGAACAGCGAUACGUGUGAAGUGAGAAGGCUGUGUUCACGGCAAAUGUGGCGAAAACAGUGAUGGUGCUUUUCCCCCAUUAAACUUCACUGUUUAUCAGGAAGCUGUUUAGGAUGAAGGCUUAAAACCCAAUCAGAAUGGGAUGGGGUUAUAUAAACACUUCCUUUGCACCUACACACAUCCUUGGGGCUAAAACUAAACCCUAAGACAAUUAAAUAAUGAUAAAAGUGGAAUGGAUGUAAGAACUGCCUGGUUCAGUGAUUCCAUAUCCUGCUGGAUUAGGAUCAGCUGCGGAGCUGGCCAGGGUCCCACUCCCUGAGAUUCUUGUUCGGUCGCUCUAAGGAGGGAGAGGGAGGGUUACUCUGAGCUUUUAAAAGAAAACACGUGUUAAUCAUCUGCCCAGGUGACUUUAAUGUCUAACCAGGUUGGAGACCAUUGAUCUAUUUCAGCCUCCUUACUUUAAGCUUGAGGCCCAGAAAAGGGGAGUAACUUUUGAAAGGUCACACAGCUAAUUAGUGACAAAGCCAAAACAACAAAACUGGCAUUAAGCAGCACUGCAGGUUUUAAGAGGUUUUCUUAACUUCACCUGGUAACCCCAGUUGGCACAAAUGUUCAUUUAUGGUCUUAGAAAACAAGGUAGAAAGUCUGCAGGCUUCUGACUAG